rnacentral:lncRNA from 1 species
GAUGAGAGGCAGCUCUUCUGAGUUAAUGUAAUGCUGCUCAGAGAUGUAGGAGGUGAUAUCUCACUGCUGAGGAUGCUUGAACCUCCCGUCCCCACCUCUGCCAAGACAUGGCUGCAAGCUGGAUGCAAAUACCUGCUGGCAAGAUUUGGGUGGGGAAGCACUGGCUGUGGAAUGUCAUGUGUUACCUGUCAGCUCUCAAAAUGACACUUGGGCCUGAGUGGUUUGCAAAGGAAAAAAAGCAGGAAACUGAGUCUCACUCAUUUUGCUCACUUCUUGCAUCAUCUCUGAUGAAAUGCUGUGCUCUCUUCCUGCUAAGGAAGACAAGUGGCAGGUGAUCACAGAGGGUGUGGAGCUGCUCUGCAAGAAGUCAACAGGCAAGUGGAUAUGGCUUAUAAUAUGGCUGCUGUUCAACAAGGAAAAUACGUGAGACUACCUCUCCUGUUUAGUUUUUGGUACAUAAAAUUUGUGAUGUUCACCUUUGGCAUGUGGGUGGACUGCCAUUUUGGGUGGUGAUGGGGAAUACAACACUAAUUUGAGAGUCGGUGAUCAUGAUACAAAAGUGAUUGUAAGGCUGCACCCUGGUGCUUAUCUCUACUCUUUCUGUUGUUCAUUUCCUAUCUAUUGUUAUGGUUAUCACUUACAAUAAAAGAACAUUGAUUUACA